UACAGAGGUCUCAAGCGUUGUUCGGAAUCACUGGGCGUAAAGGGUGCGUAGGCCGCACGGUAAGUCAGAGGUGAAAUCCCGGAGCUCAACUUCGGAAUUGCCUCCGAUACUGCCGUGCUUGAGGACUGGAGAGGAGAUUGGAAUUCACAGUGGAGCAGUGAAAUGCGUAGAUAUUGUGAGGAACACUAGUGGCGAAGGCGAAUCUCUGGACAGUUCCUGACGCUGAGGCACGAAGGCCAGGGGGAGCAAAACGGGG
rnacentral:rRNA from 1 species